UUCCUGGUAUGGAGCACUGAGAAGCGCUUGGUGACAUCGUCCAAGAUCGACAGGGAUGGCGGGUCACCUGCCGUGACGCUGUCGACGCUAUUGUCCAGUCCCGCAUGGAGCCUGUGGCGAAGCCCCUCAUUUGUGGCACUUGUGCGCGCAGUUUUCGUCGGCCACAUGAUAUUGCGACGCACAAGUGUAACGCUGUUCGCGCGGCCCCGCGCGCUGAGUAUGGCGAUCCCCGCCCGGUGGACAACACGUCUCCUGGUCUGCCCCGUAUGGGGCCACAUAGCCAGUCAUGGCAGUGGAAGAAGGAAGGAAGCUUUCACUGUCCAGGAGCGACACUGACUCGCACUGCUAUCUGGUGCUCACGAGGUGUUUGUCGCGCUGCAAACGGAGCGUCUCUCAUUAGGCGAUUUGAUCGCAGGACGAGAGAGGAGCUGAUGGACGAUCUCUCCAAUGUUCCACUUGGUUCGGAGCGGCGCCGAGUGCUGACGUUGGGACUUGGCCAUUCAACUGCAGUGCCAGUCUGGCUACCUGCCCUGCCUGCGUUCCAGCCUGUGGCUGUAUCCUGCCAUCACAGCGCUGCGACGGUGUUUGGUACGACUGUGCUGAUGGCUCUGAUGCACAGUACUGCCCAGGCAAGGUCACACCAGCUCCAGGUCAAACCGACUGCCAGGUCCUGUCACCACCGGCACUGGGCUCAAUGACCGUGAACGGCUUGAUGUUCAGCAACACGACCACGUUUGUGUGCAGUCUCCCUAUGUCCUUAUGGGCUCGGCCGUGUGUACUUGUGAAAUCAACGGCCAGUGGAGCGGUGUGCAGCCAACUUGCGUCCUGACGACUGCUGCUCUGAGUGCGGCCAGUGACGAGCUAGUCAAGGACUCCGUCUCAGAACGCAUGACACAAACGUGUUAGCUCCUGCUCCAUGCCCAUUGUUGGAGCGACAGUCCUGGAAUCCAGAGUUGCAAGUGAGGUGGUGAUACGGCAAGCAGACGGUGGCAAAGUACGGCUUAAAAGCUCUACAUCUGGCAAGUGGCCGGCAUACCACCCCAAUGGACAUCGGAACAGUACACGUAGAGUAGCAUCUCUACGUGACAGGGUAUGAGCGCAAGCCAGUAUUGCCAAGCACUGGGGACCUUUGGCAAUCUGAAGAAUGUUUUGUCCGAGAAUCGAUCCUUGGAUCUGUGGCGUUGCAGUUGUGGUGCUCCCGACCCUCUUGCGUGAUGGCCGCGGAGACCUAGCGAAAAGGUUCGAGACAUACGGCAUCUCAAUAUCUUCCACCACAAUCAGUACAUCAGCACCACCAUCGAGUGUAGCGACAUCAGCAAUAGAAGACGCACAUGAUAUCAUCCACCCUUACGGCCUUAGCGAAGACCCGGGAAUACCUGAGAAGAUGUUAGCCGCAACUUUACUGGAAAAGUCGUCGGUGACAACGGCACUCCAUAUUUUAGCUGCAUGCAGUUAGGUCUCUCAACAAGUGUACCCAAAGUUUUCAAGCUAAUACACAAGCAAAUUCACUAGGGGCCGAGUAUAUUUUCCUACACCUCUCCCUGUUUGUUGUUGUUAUUUCUGCAUUCAAAUUGUUUGUGUACCUGUACAUUUAUUACAGUAGAGCCACGCAUCCACAGCUGUUGUUUCCAAGGGGUCAGGCUCGUCAGUUAUACAAAACCUUUCAGCAAUCUGGCCUUAGGCUUAGUUCCUUGACUUCUUGUACCACUUUCUUAGAUGCACAUCCCACUGGAUAGUGAGCAAUACGUGUGUAGCAGAAUCUGUAUUCCAGAAAAGCAGAGACUCGAGUCUAUUGACACUGCGUUUCUUUUUUUUAACGUUAUUGGCUGUGGUGUACCUAGAGGUAUACACGUACAUUCCUGGGUCCCACGUUCUGUGACGCCCGACUGUAUUCGUGGUGCCUCAACAACUUUUAA